rnacentral:tRNA from 1 species
GGUCCCUUGGUCAAGCGGUUAAGACAUCGCCCUUUCACGGCGGUAACAGGAGUUCGAUUCUCCUAGGGAUCACCA